GGACUACCAGGGUUUCUAAUCCUGUUUGCUCCCCUAGCUUUCGUUCCUCAGCGUCAGUAAGUGGUCCAGCGCGCCGCUUUCGCCACGGGUGUUCCUGCAGAUAUCUACGCAUUUCACCGCUACACCUGCAAUUCCACGCGCCUCUCCCACACUCAAGCACGGCAGUUUUGGAAGCAGCCUCUGGGUUGAGCCCAGAGAUUUCACUCCCAACUUGCCACACCGCCUACGAACCCUUUACACCCAGUAAUUCCGAACAACGCUGGCCCCCUACGUCUUACCGCGGCUGCUGGCAC
rnacentral:rRNA from 1 species